UACAGAGGUGGCAAGCGUUGUUUGGAAUUACUGGGCGUAAAGGGCGCGUAGGCGGUCUUCUAAGUCCUGUGUGAAAUCCCUCGGCUCAACUGAGGAACUGCACGGGAUACUGGAUGACUUGAGUUCGGGAGAGGGAAGCGGAAUUCCGGGUGUAGCGGUGAAAUGCGUAGAUAUCCGGAGGAACACCGGUGGCGAAGGCGGCCACCUGGACGGGUACUGACGCUGAUGCGCGAAAGCGUGGGGAGCAAACAGG
rnacentral:rRNA from 1 species